GACGAACGCUGGCGGCGUGCUUAACACAUGCAAGUCGAACGAUGAUGCCAGCUUGCUGGUGGAUUAGUGGCGAACGGGUGAGUAACACGUGAGCAACCUGCCCCUGACUUCGGGAUAACCGCGGGAAACCGUGGCUAAUACCGGAUAUGACGCGCUAUCGCAUGGUGGGGUGUGGAAAGAUUUAUCGGUUGGGGAUGGGCUCGCGGCCUAUCAGCUUGUUGGUGGGGUGAUGGCCUACCAAGGCGACGACGGGUAGCCGGCCUGAGAGGGUGACCGGCCGCACUGGGACUGAGACACGGCCCAGACUCCUACGGGAGGCAGCAGUGGGGAAUAUUGCACAAUGGGCGCAAGCCUGAUGCAGCGACGCCGCGUGAGGGAUGACGGCCAUCGGGUUGUAAACCUCUUUCAGUAGGGAAGAAGGCCUUCGGGUUGACGGUACCUGCAGAAGAAGCGCCGGCUAACUACGUG
rnacentral:rRNA from 1 species